rnacentral:rRNA from 1 species
AUGAACGCUGGCGGCGUGCCUAAUACAUGCCAGUCGCGCGAACAGACGAGGAGCUUGCUCCUCUGACGUUAGCGGCGGACGGGUGAGUAACACGUGGAUAACCUACCUAUAAGACUGGGAUAACUUCGGGAAACCGGAGCUAAUACCGGAUAAUAUAUUGAACCGCAUGGCUCAAUAGUGAAAGACGGUUUUGCUGUCACUUAUAGAUGGAUCCGCGCCGCAUUAGCUAGUUGGUAAGGUAACGGCUUACCAAGGCAACGAUGCGUAGCCGACCUGAGAGGGUGAUCGGCCACACUGGAACUGAGACACGGUCCAGACUCCUACGGGAGGCAGCAGUAGGGAAUCUUCCGCAAUGGGCGAAAGCCUGACGGAGCAACGCCGCGUGAGUGAUGAAGGUCUUCGGAUCGUAAAACUCUGUUAUUAGGGAAGAACAAAUGUGUAAGUAACUAUGCACGUCUUGACGGUACCUAAUCAGAAAGCCACGGCUAACUACGUG